GUUAAUGGACCCCAGGUAGAGUAGCUGCUACAUGUUAAUGGACCCCAGGUAGAGUAGCUGCUACAUGUUAAUGGACACCAGGUAGAGUAGCUGCUACAUGUUAAUAGACCCCAGGUAGAGUAGCUGCUACAUGUUAAUGGACCCCAGGUAGAGUAGCUGCUACAUGUUAAUGGACCCCAGGUAGAGUAGCUGCUACAUGUUAAUGGACCCCAGGUAGAGUAGCUGCUACAUGUUAAUGGACCCCAGGUAGAGUAGCUGCUACAUGUUAAUGAACCCCAGGUAGAGUAGCUGCUACAUGUUAAUGGACCCCAGGUAGAGUAGCUGCUACAUGUUAAUGAACCCCAGGUAGAGUAGCUGCUACAUGUUAAUGGACCCCAGGUAGAGUAGCUGCUACAUGUUCAGUAGUUAAUGGACCCCAGGUAGAGUAGCUGCUACAUGUUAAUGGACCCCAGGUAGAGUAGCUGCUACAUGUUAAUGGACCCCAGGUAGAGUAGCUGCUACAUGUUAAUGAACCCCAGGUAGAGUAGCUGCUACAUGUUAAUGAACCCCAGGUAGAGUAGCUGCUACAUGUUAAUGGACCCCAGGUAGAGUAGCUGCUACAUGUUAAUGAACCCCAGGUAGAGUAGCUGCUACAUGUUAAUGGACCCCAGGUAGAGUAGCUGCUACAUGUUAAUGGACCCCAGGUAGAGUAGCUGCUACAUGUUAAUGGACCCCAGGUAGAGUAGCUGCUACAUGUUAAUGGACCCCAGGUAGAGUAGCUGCUACAUGUUAAUGAACCCCAGGUAGAGUAGCUGCUACAUGUUAAUGGACCCCAGGUAGAGUAGCUGCUACAUGUUAAUGGACCCCAGGUAGAGUAGCUGCUACAUGUUAAUGGACACCAGGUAGAGUAGCUGCUACAUGUUAAUAGACCCCAGGUAGAGUAGCUGCUACAUGUUAAUGGACCCCAGGUAGAGUAGCUGCUACAUGUUAAUGGACCCCAGGUAGAGUAGCUGCUACAUGUUAAUGGACCCCAGGUAGAGUAGCUGCUACAUGUUAAUGGACCCCAGGUAGAGUAGCUGCUACAUGUUAAUGGACCCCAGGUAGAGUAGCUGCUACAUGUUAAUGGACCCCAGGUAGAGUAGCUGCUACAUGUUAAUGAACCCCAGGUAGAGUAGCUGCUACAUAUUCAGUAGUUAAUGGACCCCAGGUAGAGUAGCUGCUACAUGUUAAUGAACCCCAGGUAGAGUAGCUGCUACAUGUUAAUGAACCCCAGGUAGAGUAGCUGCUACAUAUUCAGUAGUUAAUGGACCCCAGGUAGAGUAGCUGCUACAUGUUAAUGAACCCCAGGUAGAGUAGCUGCUACAUGUUAAUGAACCCCAGGUAGAGUAGCUGCUACAUGUUAA